GUGGGGAAUCUUCCGCAAUGGACGAAAGUCUGACGGAGCAACGCCGCGUGAGUGAAGAAGGUUUUCGGAUCGUAAAGCUCUUUCGUUAGGGACGAACGUGCUCUUUGUGAAUAAUGAGGAGUAAUGACGGUACCUAAAUAAGAAGCCACGGCUAACUACGUGCCAGCAGCCGCGGUAAUACGUAGGUGGCAAGCGUUGUCCGGAAUUAUUGGGCGUAAAGCGCGCGCAGGCGGGAUAUCAAGUCUGUCUUAAAAGUGCGAGGCUCAACCUCGUGAGGGGACAGAAACUGGUAUUCUUGAGUGUCGGAGAGGAAAGUGGAAUUCCAAGUGUAGCGGUGAAAUGCGUAGAGAUUUGGAAGAACACCAGUGGCGAAGGCGACUUUCUGGACGAUGUCUGACGCUGAGGCGCGAAAGCUAGGGGAGCGAACGGGAUUAGAAAACCCCGGUAGUCC
rnacentral:rRNA from 1 species